GUCCACGUAGCUCAGUAGGAUAGAGCGUAGGAUUCCUAAUCCUAAGGUCGGAGGUUCGAAUCCUCUCGUGGACGCCA
rnacentral:tRNA from 1 species